CAUCUUGACUACAACUGCUCUCUUCUCACUCCCCACUCAUGCCUCCGCAAUAUUUUAGCUAAAUCAAGGAUUUUCCUCUAAAGAGUCCAAGUGAAGAAAUGGGGCUUUUUCUUCUAUUGAGGGGUUGAGGUUGAAGAUCCUUAUCGUUCACAUAACUAGUAGGCAUCCUCUAAUCAAAGGCAUUGUGGUGAGUCAUCAUUGACCGGGGACUAGUUCAAGUUACUUACUACUUUCUUUUCAAAAGACUUUUGCUUAUGUUGUAUAUUGAGGGUGAGCUAGGGAUAUGUCUUAGCCCCCGCUCAUACUCAUGUUUUGAGGCAUCUAGUUGGACAUAUGUUUGAGUCUAUAUUGUCAUCAAACAUUUUUUUAGAUUUCUA